UAUGGCAAUCCUAGUAUGCCAACAGUGUAACCCAACCGUCAAGGUAAAUCAAAAUGCUGCAUCAAAACAUCCAUCGACUACCGGAUCGUUCAACAAGUGCUUCAAACAACUACAGCAUCAACGACGACGAAAACAAUCCCAAACCCUCCCACAAACUGAAUGACUCACAGCGAACACUUUUGAAAACAUUCGGAUCGUUCAUUUGUAUCAUGCUGGUGUUCUAUCUCUGCUGGCUUGUUUUACACCAUUCGGAACAAUAGCUAGCGAGCACCCGGCACUCGACAGCAUCUACCGCACCGCCAUCCGAAUACAAGAUCGCCACCUUAACCGGAUACACUCGCUUUGGGAUCCAACAACCAACAACGCAAUCAGCGCACGCGGAAAAAGGAAUAAAAUCCAAUCGCCACCGCACCGUGGUGGAAAACCUCAAAAAUUGGAAAAGUCAUUAGCGGCAGCUGGUGGUCCGUGUUGGGGGGUGAUUAUUAGCAUUUUAUCGAUGGGAGUAGCUAUUGCACGGUUUGGCAUUGGAACUAAACAGAAAAAUCAUCGGCUGUCGGUGAAAGGGAAUUGCUGCGAAUUUAAAUGCCAUUUAGGCUUUGUUACAAGAUGAGAUCUUCCGUUAUCAACGUUUGAAUGCAAAAUGUAGAAA